UACAGAGGUCUCAAGCGUUGUUCGGAUUCAUUGGGCGUAAAGAGCUCGUAGGCGGUUCGGUAAGUCAGGUGUGAAAACUCCAGGCUCAACUUGGAGACGCCACCUGAUACUGUCGUGACUAGAGUCCGGUAGGGGAGCAUGGAAUUCCUGGUGUAGCGGUGAAAUGCGCAGAUAUCAGGAGGAAUACCGAUGGCGAAGGCAGGUCUCUGGGCUAUAACUGACGCUCAUGCACGAAAGCGUGGGGGAGCAAACAGG
rnacentral:rRNA from 1 species